UCGGACCUACGGGGGGCAGCAGUGAGGAAUAUUGGUCAAUGGGCGAGAGCCUGAACCAGCCAAGUCGCGUGAGGGAAGACGGUCCUAUGGAUUGUAAACCUCUUUUGCCGGGGAGCAAAAAGCGGUACGCGUACCGCAUCGAGAGUACCCGGAGAAAAAGCAUCGGCUAACUCCGUGCCAGCAGCCGCGGUAAUACGGAGGAUGCGAGCGUUAUCCGGAUUUAUUGGGUUUAAAGGGUGCGCAGGCGGCGAGUUAAGUCAGCGGUAAAAUUUCGGGGCUCAACCCCUUCCCGCCAUUGAAACUGG
rnacentral:rRNA from 1 species